GCUGGCGGCGUGCUUAACACAUGCAAGUCGAACGAAAAGACGGAAAGAGCUUGCUCUUUUCAGAAUUGAGUGGCAAACGGGUGAGUAACACGUAAACAACCUGCCUUCAGGAUGGGGACAACAGACGGAAACGACUGCUAAUACCGAAUAAGUUCCAAGAGCCGCAUGGCCCAUGGAAGAAAAGGUGGCCUCUACCUGUAAGCUAUCGCCUGAAGAGGGGUUUGCGUCUGAUUAGCUGGUUGGAGGGGUAACGGCCCACCAAGGCGACGAUCAGUAGCCGGUCUGAGAGGAUGAACGGCCACACUGGAACUGAGACACGGUCCAGACUCCUACGGGAGGCAGCAGUGGGGAAUCUUCCGCAAUGGGCGAAAGCCUGACGGAGCAACGCCGCGUGAGUGAUGACGGCCUUCGGGUUGUAAAACUCUGUGAUCCGGGACGAAAGGGCAGAGUGCGAAGAACAAACUGCAUUGACGGUACCGGAAAAGCAAGCCACGGCUAACUACGUGCCAGCAGCCGCGGUAAUACGUAGGUGGCAAGCGUUGUCCGGAAUUAUUGGGCGUAAAGCGCGCGCAGGCGGCUUCCCAAGUCCCUCUUAAAAGUGCGGGGCUUAACCCCGUGAUGGGAAGGAAACUGGGAAGCUGGAGUAUCGGAGAGGAAAGUGGAAUUCCUAGUGUAGCGGUGAAAUGCGUAGAGAUUAGGAAGAACACCGGUGGCGAAGGCGACUUUCUGGACGACAAACUGACGCUGAGGCGCGA
rnacentral:rRNA from 1 species